rnacentral:rRNA from 1 species
AGUGAACGCUGGUGGUAGGCCUAACACAUGCAAGUCGAACGGCAGCACAGUAAGAGCUUGCUCUUACGGGUGGCGAGUGGCGGACGGGUGAGGAAUACAUCGGAAUCUACUUUUUCGUGGGGGAUAACGUAGGGAAACUUACGCUAAUACCGCAUACGACCUACGGGUGAAAGCAGGGGAUCUUCGUACCUUGCGCGAUUGAAUGAGCCGAUGUCGGAUUAGCUAGUUGGCGGGGUAAAGGCCCACCAAGGCGACGAUCCGUAGCUGGUCUGAGAGGAUGAUCAGCCACACUGGAACUGAGACACGGUCCAGACUCCUACGGGAGGCAGCAGUGGGGAAUAUUGGACAAUGGGCGCAAGCCUGAUCCAGCCAUACCGCGUGGGUGAAGAAGGCCUUCGGGUUGUAAAGCCCUUUUGUUGGGAAAGAAAAGCAGCAGGUUAAUACCCCGCUGUUCUGACGGUACCCAAAGAAUAAGCACCGGCUAACUUCGUG